AGUGAACGCUGGCGGUAGGCCUAACACAUGCAAGUCGAACGGCAGCACAGUAAGCGCUUGCUCUUACGGGUGGCGAGUGGCGGGCGGGUGAGGGAUACAUCGGCAUCUACUUUUUCGUAGGGUAUCACGUAGGGACACUUACGCUAAUACUGCAUACGACCUACGGGUGGAAGCAGGGGAUCUUCCGCCCUUGCGCGAUUGAAUGAGCCGAUGUCGGAUUAGCUAGUUGGCGGGGUAAAGGCCCACCAAGGCGAAGAUCCGUAGCUGGUCUGAGAGGAUGAUCAGCCACACUGGAACUGAGACACGGUCCAGACUCCUACGGGAGGCAGCAGUGGGGAAUAUUGGACAAUGGGCGCAAGCCUGAUCCAGCCAUACCGCGUGGGUGAAGAAGGCCUUCGGGUUGUAAAGCCCUUUUGGUGGGAAAGAAAAGCAGCGGGUUAAUACCCCGCGGUUCUGACGGUACCCAAAGAAUAAGCACCGGCUAACUUCGUG
rnacentral:rRNA from 1 species